UACGGAGGGUGCAAGCGUUAUCCGGAUUCACUGGGUUUAAAGGGUGCGUAGGAGGGCAGGUAAGUCAGUGGUGAAAUCCCCGAGCUUAACUUGGGAACUGCCGUUGAUACUAUCUGUCUUGAAUACCGUGGAGGUGAGCGGAAUAUGUCAUGUAGCGGUGAAAUGCUUAGAUAUGACAUAGAACACCAAUUGCGAAGGCAGCUCGCUACACGAAUAUUGACUCUGAGGCACGAAAGCGUGGGAUCAAACAGG
rnacentral:rRNA from 1 species